rnacentral:rRNA from 1 species
UACGGAGGAUCCAAGCGUUAUCCGGAAUCAUUGGGUUUAAAGGGUCCGUAGGCGGUUUAGUAAGUCAGUGGUGAAAGCCCAUCGCUCAACGGUGGAACGGCCAUUGAUACUGCUGAACUUGAAUUAUUAGGAAGUAACUAGAAUAUGUAGUGUAGCGGUGAAAUGCUUAGAGAUUACAUGGAAUACCAAUUGCGAAUGGCAGGUUACUACUAAUGGAUUGACGCUGAUGGACGAAAGCGUGGGUAGCGAACAGG